rnacentral:rRNA from 1 species
GGGUUGUGAGGUUAAGCGAAUAAGCGUACACGGUGGAUGCCUAGGCAAUCAGAGGCGAUGAAGGACGCGCUAAUCUGCGAAAAGCGUCGGUAAGGUGAUAUGAACCGUUAUACCCGACGAUAUCCGAAUGGGGAAACCCAGUAUCCAAUGGAUACUAUCAUUAACUGAAUCCAUAGGUUAAUGAGGCGAACCGGGAGAACUGAAACAUCUCAGUACCCCGAGGAAAAGAAAUCAACCGAGAUUCCCCUAGUAGCGGCGAGCGAACGGGAGCAGCCCAGAGUCUUAAUCAAUAACAGUGUCAGGAGAACGGUCUGGAAAGUCCGGCAGUAAAGGGUGAUAGCCCCGUAUCUGAAGAUGCUGUUAUUGUGAACUCGACGAGUAGGGCGGGACACGUGUUAUCCUGUCUGAAUAUGGGGGGACCAUCCUCCAAGGCUAAAUACUCCUGAUUGACCGAUAGUGAACCAGUACCGUGAGGGAAAGGCGAAAAGAACCCCGGCGAGGGGAGUGAAAAAGAACCUGAAACCGUGUACGUACAAGCAGUAGGAGCCUCUUUAUGGGGUGACUGCGUACCUUUUGUAUAAUGGGUCAGCGACUUAUAUUCUGUAGCAAGGUUAACCGUAUAGGGGAGCCGUAGGGAAACCGAGUCUUAACUGGGCGAAUGAGUUGCAGGGUAUAGACCCGAAACCCGGUGAUCUAUCCAUGGGCAGGUUGAAGGUUGGGUAACACUAACUGGAGGACCGAACCGACUAAUGUUGAAAAAUUAGCGGAUGACUUGUGGAUGGGGGUGAAAGGCCAAUCAAACCGGGAGAUAGCUGGUUCUCCCCGAAAGCUAUUUAGGUAGCGCCUCGUGAAUUCAUCUUCGGGGGUAGAGCACUGUUUCGACUAGGGGGUCAUCCCGACUUACCAACUCGAUGCAAACUGCGAAUACCGAAGAAUGUUAUCACGGGAGACACACGGCGGGUGCUAACGUCCGUCGUGAAGAGGGAAACAACCCAGACCGCCAGCUAAGGUCCCAAAGUCAUGGUUAAGUGGGAAACGAAGUGGGAAGGCUCAGACAGCCAGGAUGUUGGCUUAGAAGCAGCCAUCAUUUAAAGAAAGCGUAAUAGCUCACUGGUCGAGUCGGCCCGCGCGGAAGAUGUAACGGGGCUAAACCAUGCACCGAAGCUGCGGCAGCGACACAAAGUGUUGUUGGGUAGGGGAGCGUUCUGUAAGCCUGCGAAGGUGUACUGUGAGGUAUGCUGGAGGUAUCAGAAGUGCGAAUGCUGACAUAAGUAACGAUAAUGCGGGUGAAAAACCCGCACGCCGGAAGACCAAGGGUUCCUGUCCAACGUUAAUCGGGGCAGGGUGAGUCGACCCCUAAGGCGAGGCUGAAAAGCGUAGUCGAUGGGAAACGGGUUAAUAUUCCCGUACUGGUGGUAACUGCGAUGGGGGAACGGAGAAGGCUAGGUUGUCCGGGCGACGGUCGUCCCGGUUCAAGCAGGUAGGCAGAGUGAUUAGGCAAAUCCGGUCACUUAAUGCUGAGAUGUGAUGACGAACCACUAAGGUGGUGAAGCAAUUGAUGCCCCGCUUCCAGGAAAAGCCUCUAAGCUUCAGGUUACCAACAAUCGUACCCCAAACCGACACAGGUGGUCAGGUAGAGAAUACUCAGGCGCUUGAGAGAACUCGGGUGAAGGAACUAGGCAAAAUGGUGCCGUAACUUCGGGAGAAGGCACGCUGGCGGUAGGUAAAGUCCCUUGCGGACGGCGCUGAAGCCAGUCGAAGAUACCAGCUGGCUGCAACUGUUUAUUAAAAACACAGCACUGUGCAAACACGAAAGUGGACGUAUACGGUGUGACGCCUGCCCGGUGCUGGAAGGUUAAUUGAUGGGGUCAGCCGUAAGGCGAAGCUCCUGAUCGAAGCCCCAGUAAACGGCGGCCGUAACUAUAACGGUCCUAAGGUAGCGAAAUUCCUUGUCGGGUAAGUUCCGACCUGCACGAAUGGCGUAAUGAUGGCCAGGCUGUCUCCACCCGAGACUCAGUGAAAUUGAACUCGCUGUGAAGAUGCAGUGUACCCGCGGCAAGACGGAAAGACCCCGUGAACCUUUACUAUAGCUUGACACUGAACAUUGAGCCUUGAUGUGUAGGAUAGGUGGGAGGCUUUGAAGUGUGGACGCCAGUCUGCAUGGAGCCAACCUUGAAAUACCACCCUUUAACGUUUGAUGUUCUAACCUAGGCCCAUAAACUGGGUCGGGGACCGUGUCUGGUGGGUAGUUUGACUGGGGCGGUCUCCUCCUAAAGAGUAACGGAGGAGCACGAAGGUUGGCUAAGCAUGGUCGGACAUCAUGCGGUUAGUGCAAAGGCAUAAGCCAGCUUGACUGCGAGUGACGGCUCGAGCAGGUACGAAAGUAGGUCUUAGUGAUCCGGUGGUUCUGAAUGGAAGGGCCAUCGCUCAACGGAUAAAAGGUACUCCGGGGAUAACAGGCUGAUACCGCCCAAGAGUUCAUAUCGACGGCGGUGUUUGGCACCUCGAUGUCGGCUCAUCACAUCCUGGGGCUGAAGUAGGUCCCAAGGGUAUGGCUGUUCGCCAUUUAAAGUGGUACGCGAGCUGGGUUUAGAACGUCGUGAGACAGUUCGGUCCCUAUCUGCCGUGGGCGUUGGAAGAUUGAGAGGGGUUGCUCCUAGUACGAGAGGACCGGAGUGAACGCACCACUGGUGUUCGGGUUGUCAUGCCAAUGGCAUUGCCCGGUAGCUAAGUGCGGAAGAGAUAACCGCUGAAAGCAUCUAAGCGGGAAACUUGCCUCGAGAUGAGUCUUCCCUGUCGCUUUAAGCGACCUAAAGGAACGUUUAAGACUAAGACGUUGAUAGGCUGGGUGUGUAAGCGUAGCGAUACGUUGAGCUAACCAGUACUAAUGAACCGUGAGGCUUAACCUGACAACACCGAAAGUGUUUUG